UGCCUAACACAUGCAAGUCGUGCGGGAAAGCGGGGGCAACUCCGCAAGUACAGCGGCGCACGGGUGAGUAACACGUAGGUAACCUACCCUUGAGACUGGGAUAACCUGUCGAAAGACGGGCUAAUACUAGAUAAGACCACCGAGGUUGCGGCCCCGGCGGUAAAAGGUGGCCUCUGCUUGCAAGCUACUACUCGGGGAUGGGCCUGCGCGCCAUUAGCUAGUUGGCGGGGUAAGAGCCCACCAAGGCAAAGAUGGCUAGCUGGUCUGAGAGGAUGGCCAGCCACACUGGGACUGAGACACGGCCCAGACUCCUACGGGAGGCAGCAGUGGGGAAUAUUGCGCAAUGGGCGAAAGCCUGACGCAGCGACGCCGCGUGGGUGAUGAAGGCCUUCGGGUCGUAAAGCCC
rnacentral:rRNA from 1 species